UAAUCGAGGCUAAGCUGCAAAUAAACAUUAGACGCCGUGGUUGAAAUCCCUCCCUGAGGAACCGCCACGUAAAAUAAAGCUGAGAGAUCAGAUUCAUUCUGUCCCUAUCUACUAUCUAGCGAAACCACAGCCAAGGGAACGGGCUUGGAAUAAUUAGCGGGGAAAGAAGACCCUUUUGAGCUUGACUCUAAUCUGGCAGUGUAAGGAGACAUAAGAGGUGUAGCAUAAGUGGGAGAUAUUAGAUUUCGGUUUGGUAUCGACAAUGAAAUACCACUACUCUUAUUGUUUCCUUACUUACUUGAUUAAAUGGAACGUGUAUCAUUUCCUAGCCAUUAUACGGAUAUAUUUAUUAUAUCUUAUGGUAUUGGGUUUUGAUGCAAGCUUCUUGAUCAAAGUAUCACGAGUUUGUUAUAUAAUCGCAAACAAAUUCUUUAAUGAGAAAAUGCAUUUAUGUAUUUUCAAUUUGAAAAUUUGGUAUAACUCCAAUUACUCAGGUAUGAUCCAAUUCAAGGACAUUGCCAGGUAGGGAGUUUGACUGGGGCGGUACAUCUCUCAAAUAAUAACGGAGGUGUCCCAAGGCCAGCUCAGUGCGGACAGAAACCACACAUAGAGCAAAAGGGCAAAUGCUGACUUGAUCUCGGUGUUCAGUACACACAGGGACAGCAAAAGCUCGGCCUAUCGAUCCUUUUGGUUUAAAGAGUUUUUAACAAGAGGUGUCAGAAAAGUUACCAUAGGGAUAACUGGCUUGUGGCGGCCAAGCGUUCAUAGCGACGUCGCUUUUUGAUCCUUCGAUGUCGGCUCUUCCUAUCAUUGUGAAGCAAAAUUCACCAAGCGUUGGAUUGUUCACCCAUGCAAGGGAACGUGAGCUGGGUUUAGACCGUCGUGAGACAGGUUAGUUUUACCCUACUAAUGACAAAACGUUGUUGCGACAGCAUUCCUGCGUAGUACGAGAGGAACCGCAGGUACGGACCAAUGGCACAAUACUUGUUCGAGCGAACAGUGGUAUGACGCUACGUCCGUUGGAUUAUGCCUGAACGCCUCUAAGGUCGUAUCCGUGCUGGACUGCAAUGAUAAAUAAGGGGCAAUUUGCAUUGUAUGGCUUCUAAACCAUUAAAAGUUUAUAAUUUAUUUUAUAAACGACAAUGGAUGUGAUGCCAAUGUAAUUUGUAACAUAGUAAAUUGGGAGGAUCAUCGAUCACCUGAUGCCGCGCUAGUUGCAUAUAAAAACAUUAUUUAAUACAAUGACAAAGCCUAGAA
rnacentral:ncRNA from 1 species